AAAAUGACAUAGAUUAGGAUGUAAAAAAUGUCAUAUUUUAGCACGAAAAGAAAAAAAUAUUUUUGAGUCCGAAAAGAAACGUCAAAGUAUACUAUGACAAAAUUUUCAGAUUUUUGGGUGAAAAAAAAUUUCUGAUUUAAGGAUGGAAAAACAUGCCAUAGUACAGUCUGAUCAAAAAGACAUACAUUAGGCUGUUAAAGAUAUCAAAUUGUAGAAUGUUAAAAAAAAAAAUAUUUUAGUCAGAGAGAAAAACGACAUAGUAUACUAUGACAAAAUUUUCAGAUUUUUGGGUGAAAAAAAAAUUCUGAUUUAAGGAUGAAAAAACAUGCCACAGUAUCGUCUGAUCAAAAUGACGUAGAUUAGGAUGUUCAAAAUUUCAUAUUUUAGCAAGAUAAAAUAAAAUCAUUGUCACGUCUGUGGGUGUGGUCGUGUCCUGUGUCUUCUGCUGUGUGUCUCUGUCUGCUAGGUUCCUCCCCAGGUGUCUUAGGUGAACCUGCUUGGUGUGAUGAGUGGAAGCGGAUAUCAGAAGACACAGCUGCACUGACUCUCUGUCAGCCCUCGGG